UACGUAGGGUGCAAGCGUUGUCCGGAAUUAUUGGGCGUAAAGAGCUCGUAGGCGGUCUGUCGCGUCGGCUGUGAAAACCCGGGGCUCAACCCCGGGCCUGCAGUCGAUACGGGCAGGCUAGAAUUCGGUAGGGGAGACUGGAAUUCCUGGUGUAGCGGUGAAAUGCGCAGAUAUCAGGAGGAACACCGGUGGCGAAGGCGGGUCUCUGGGCCGUAACUGACGCUGAGGAGCGAAAGCAUGGGGAGCGAACAGG
rnacentral:rRNA from 1 species